UACGAAGGGUGCUAGCGUUGUUCGGAAUUACUGGGCGUAAAGAGCGCGUAGGCGGUUGUACUAGUCAGGGGUGAAAUCCCACAGCUUAACUGUGGAACUGCCUUUGAAACUGUGCAGCUGGAGUGUGUGAGGGGAUAGCGGAAUUCCUAAUGUAGAGGUGAAAUUCGUAGAUAUUAGGAGGAACACCGGUGGCGAAGGCGGCUAUCUGGCACACAACUGACGCUGAGGCGCGAAAGCGUGGGGAUCAAACAGG
rnacentral:rRNA from 1 species